GUGAGGAAUAUUGGUCAAUGGACGGAAGUCUGAACCAGCCAUGCCGCGUGCAGGAAUAAGGUCCUAUGGAUUGUAAACUGCUUUUAUUCGGGAAUAAACCUCUUUACGUGUAGGGAGCUGAAGGUACCGAAGGAAUAAGCACCGGCUAACUCCGUGCCAGCAGCCGCGGUAAUACGGAGGGUGCAAGCGUUAUCCGGAAUCAUUGGGUUUAAAGGGUCCGCAGGCGGACUAUCAAGUCAGAGGUGAAAUCCCACAGCUUAACUGUGGAACUGCCUUUGAAACUGAUGGUCUUGAAUUAAGUGGGCGUUGGCGGAAUAUGACAUGUAGCGGUGAAAUGCAUAGAUAUGUCAUGGAACACCGAAAGCGAAGGCAGCUAACGAUACUUAUAUUGACGCUCAUGGACGAAAGCGUGGGUAGCGAACAGGAUUAGAAACCCCAGUAGUCC
rnacentral:rRNA from 1 species